rnacentral:lncRNA from 1 species
AAAUCGUUUUGAAUGCAAGUAUAACAUGUGUGGAGAUGAACCCCUUAGCUAGCUUUCCAUCCAUUCAUUUAAGCCAAAUUCGUUUUAAAAUCUGUUCUAGUUUACAAAGUUUUGUUUUGUUUUUAAAUUCGUCCAAAAUCAAUCCCCCUUUUCUUUGUUGAGUCAUAUUAGUUAGAAGUCAAGUUAGUUUGUGUUUUCAAGUGUUUUGAGUCAAGUUAAAACCUAAUUUCGUCCAAGUUUGUGUCUAGUGUUCAAAACUGCCCAGAAAGUGUUUUUAAGGCAGUUUUGAGUGUUUUGGUGCUGUUUUGAGUCUUUUGGUUUGUUUUGGUAUUUUAAAGUUUAGUUUUGCAUUCUUUGAGUCUAGUUUA